GAUGAACGCUGGCGGCGUGCUUAACACAUGCAAGUCGAACGAAGCACUUUAUUUGAUUUCCUUCGGGACUGAUUAUUUUGUGACUGAGUGGCGGACGGGUGAGUAACGCGUGGGUAACCUGCCUUGUACAGGGGGAUAACAGUUGGAAACGGCUGCUAAUACCGCAUAAGCGCACAGCAUCGCAUAAUGCAGUGUGAAAAACUCCGGUGGUAUAAGAUGGACCCGCGUUGGAUUAGCUAGUUGGUGAGGUAACGGCCCACCAAGGCGACGAUCCAUAGCCGACCUGAGAGGGUGACCGGCCACAUUGGGACUGAGACACGGCCCAAACUCCUACGGGAGGCAGCAGUGGGGAAUAUUGCACAAUGGGCGAAAGCCUGAUGCAGCGACGCCGCGUGAGCGAAGAAGUAUUUCGGUAUGUAAAGCUCUAUCAGCAGGGAAGAUAAUGACGGUACCUGACGAAGAAGCACCGGCUAAAUACGUG
rnacentral:rRNA from 1 species